ensembl:lncRNA
UGUCAACACUGCCCAUCCCUCACAAACUCAAAUGGAAUAGGACGCUGAGGCCCUGGUUACAAAGCACCUGUGUUUGAGGCACCCACUUACCUCCAGUGGUGGGUUAUGGUUGGCACAACAGCCUGCAGGACAAGUCUGGGAAUUACAAAGCCACGGUCAGACACCUCUAACUAUCAGUGAUAAAUGUCAACCGCCUGAAGAGAAAAUCAGCUGCAGACAACUCCAGCAAAAAUAUUGAAAAAAGCAAACAUAUUUGAGAUUUUUGACGAUGACAAUGCUGGAGCUGGUCAAGAGGACAUUACUACAUUGUGUGUGUGUGUGUGUGUGUGUGUGUAUAUAUGUAUGGGGAUGUUAUUGUGCAUUUGGAUGAGAAUUUUUAUUAGUUAUGUGGCUCACAGUUGACAGUCCCUGAGCAAGAGGUAUAACUCACGUAGCUCAUUAUUUUUAAUUAAGCUACAGCGCUUCUGUCUAAUCUCACCAGCUCUGCGUGCAUUUUCUAUGUUCUGUUCUGCUGCACUGCACUGCUGUAAAACAAUUACAUCAAUGUAACAUUCAGUUUGUCUUCUACAGCCAAUGAUUAUAACUAACAUGUCUGUGUAUGUAUUUGGUAAAUGCCUACAUAAUUCAUAAGCCAUUGAAUGUGUUGAAUAAUAUUCUUACAAAUGUCAAUGAAUGCAUUUAUUUGGCAAAGACUGGAGCUCAGAGGGUCACAUUUUGAUUUAUUUCAAUAAUAUAUCCUGUGUACUUCUGUGUGUCCUGUCACUGACACAGAAGGUGGUUGAAAGACAUCAUUCUGAAUGCUUGUGUGGUAGAUGGCAUGAGUAAUCUCUCAAGAUGUCAGUGAGGUAAUUUUAUUUUUCUCUCAACCACCAAAAGUUUGCCAUUAGGCAAUCAUGCUGCGUCAGGAUUUCUUCGCCUCCAAAGGAUUUCUGCAUUUUAUCGCACCUAAUACAUAUUCAAAUAGAAUGCAAGAUCUCAGUAAUAGUAAUGGCAUGCCAUAAAAUGAUCGGAUAGCAUUUACAGUGUCUGUGUGUGUUUUCUCUGUUGUGUUCACUUAGAAUCCCACAAUAAAUGCAGUAGUCGCUCCAAAACAUCUCACGCAUACUGUAUUGUUUCAUUGCAUUUGGAGUCCCAGGUGAUAGCAUUAAUAAUGUAAAGACUAGCGGGAAAUCAAUUCAUGGAUAAUUAUGAACGCUUGCAGACAGCUGAAAAUAUUUGUGCUGGCAAAACAAUUCCAAGGGCUUUAUUCAAUACGUAUUAGGCAUUUUGAGGGGAAAGGUGAUUUUGUGUGUUCAAAUACAUAUUCAUUUACAAUAAUUUAUUUAUAUGUAUAUAUAUAUAUAUAUAUAUAUAUAUAUAUUCAUAAUAAAAAUUCAAAUGUACAACAGAACACAGCAGUUAGAUGUGGCAAAGUACUUUGAGCACAGCUGUGUGUUCGGUGUUCCUCCAUUCGAUAGAGUUGUUUUAUUAAGCAGUUUGAAUGGCAGUGUUACUGCGCAGAGGCGCAGAGAGCAGGAGUGCAAUAGGUCAGAGGAAGAGAGGGGGGCUAGUGGUUAGAGGAGUUCAUCAAGGUUGAGAGACAGGCUGGCGGCCAACAAAGGGUCACCUUAACCUUGUAGAGGACAUACAUGUAGGGGAGGAGGACAUGGGGAGCAUUGUGUUCAAAACUUCAAGAAACUAGUUAUGAGGGACACACUCAGACGAGGGCGAGGUAGGGGAUUCAGGUCCCCCCAAUAUGAUGUUCCAUGAAUGUAUACAAUUUAGUAUUCUACAAAAAAUAAAGCUGUGUGAGACAGCUAGCCACGUGUAAAACUAGAUAAAGAUCUUGUUAGUCUUGUGCCUUUGCCAACGAGCUUUACAUCAAUCUUCUUGUCUACUCAAUUUUCAUGAUGAUUUUUAAUGAAGCCGGCUAGUUUACAUGGUAGACUCCAGUCUGUGCAUUUACACUUUACUCAAUGUGACCAACCAACAGUAAAAAUAUGUCAUCAAUACAAAAAAAAAAUAUCGACAGAAAACGCCAGCUUUUUUUGCUGCAUCUCUUUGCUACAUGUUUUUGGAAUAUUUGUCUCUUUGUCUUAGUUGGAAAAUGUUGUGUCAUUGAAUGAGGACAUCACUGCACAGGUAUACCUUUUCCUGGAUUAUCAGGAUCAAAUCUGUGAUUUGCAUGGUCCGAGGAGGCAUUUCCAAUCAAUUUGGAUUCAUUUUAAAAGGGGAGAGUCCAUCACAACAUCAUGGCUGGGAUGUCACUGCGGCUCCCAACUUCCAUUCCCUGAAUAGUAAUAGGCCUGGAGAAUAUUAUUUUUUACAGUUCUAUAAUUUUCACACCAUGGUCAAUUUUCAACUUAUGGUUAAUCGACACACUAGCAUUCCCAGUGUGGCAAAAUCCUUAUGAAAUUAUUCAUAAAUAGCUUUUAUAGUUAAUGGAUGUUAAAUGGUUGUAACAUCCAAAGAGAAUGAAUAAUAUCAUGAAUAAUACUAUUUUUACGGUGUAAUGAUUAUGUAAAACUGUUUCAUCAAAUGGCCGUCAGGUUUUUUAGUCUUUAGUUUGUCAGCUUUUGAUCAAUUUGAUUGCUGUACAAGCAAGCAGUAAUUAUGACAAAUAUAAUUAACAAUGUUUGAAAUACUCCAAUACUACUACAAAAUUCCAACCGUAACUUUAAAUCAGCACACAAGAGUUCUGUAGCGCUAGGAAUGGGUGCACAAAAGCAUUCCUUCCCUCUUAUAUUUUGUGGAAAAUAAUACACCAACCAAUAAGGUAAGGGCAGCAUCUCUUUGAUGCCAC